CGCACGGGUGAGUAACACGUAUCCAACCUGCCGUCUACUCUUGGACAGCCUUCUGAAAGGAAGAUUAAUCCAGGAUGGCAUCAUGAGCCCACAUGUUCUCAUGAUUAAAGGUAUUCCGGUAGACGAUGGGGAUGCGUUCCAUUAGAUAGUAGGCGGGGUAACGGCCCACCUAGUCUUCGAUGGAUAGGGGUUCUGAGAGGAAGGUCCCCCACAUUGGAACUGAGACACGGUCCAA
rnacentral:rRNA from 1 species